rnacentral:rRNA from 1 species
UACGAAGGGUGCAAGCGUUACUCGGAAUUACUGGGCGUAAAGGGUGCGUAGGUGGUUGUUUAAGUCUGCUGUGAAAGCCCCGGGCUCAACCUGGGAAUGGCAGUGGAUACUGGACAUCUAGAGUGCGGUAGAGGGUAGUGGAAUUCCCGGUGUAGCAGUGAAAUGCGUAGAUAUCGGGAGGAAUACCAGUGGCGAAGGCGGCCUUCUGGACGGAUACUGACGCUGAGGCGCGAAAGCCAGGGGAGCAAACGGG